UGGACUUCAAGAGUGUAUGCCAUCUACCA
rnacentral:piRNA from 1 species